rnacentral:rRNA from 1 species
GGGUUUGACAUCCCGAUCGUACUCUAUGGAAACAUAGGGGUCAGUUCGGCUGGAUCGGUGACAGGUGCUGCAUGGCUGUCGUCAGCUCGUGUCGUGAGAUGUUGGGUUAAGUCCCGCAACGAGCGCAACCCUUGUCCUUAGUUGCCACCAUUCAGUUGGGCACUCUAAGGAGACUGCCGGUGUUAAACCGGAGGAAGGUGGGGAUGACGUCAAGUCCUCAUGGCCCUUAUAUCCAGGGCUACACACGUGCCACAAUGGCCGGUACAAAGGGUCGCAAUACCGCGAGGUGGAGCUAAUCCCAAAAAGCCGGUCUCAGUUCGGAUUGGAGUCUGCAACUCGACUCCAUGAAGUCGGAAUCGCUAAUAAUCGCGUAUCAGCGUGACGCGGUGAAUACGUUCCCGGGCCUU